rnacentral:ncRNA from 1 species
AUCCUUUUAGCCAGACGGGAAAGUUUACGGACUUUUCACAGUGCAAGAAAGGGAAAAGGGAUCUGUUUCAGUUCCGGUCAUAGCGCCGGAGAAAUUUAAUUUGCUGAUAAUGCGGUUAGUACCUGGCGAAAGCCGGCGAAGGGCGUAACGAUCAG